AGAUAUGUUUAACAUUUCCGAGCCAUUAUUACCAUCUUGAGGCUCCAAAUCUUCCAUCUCAACGGCGGGAGGGUCACCAAAAGUGGAGAAAUGUUCCUUCAAUACAGUAACAUUUGCAAGACCACUUGGCAUAGGUGGAAGGACUUUGAAGGCAGUGGGACGAUUGUCUAGUUUGUAUCUGUUGAAAACAAAAGGUGCACCAUGUGGUGCCACUGGAGGAAUUGACUGUCUCAAGCUUGAAGGUUCCUGUGUAGCUGCAGCAGAACAUGAUAUAGGACAAGAGUGCUCUGCAUUUUCUGUUGAUCUGUUAUUAUCGGAUACUACUUCAGCUUGUGUUGAGGAUACAUCAUUAAGUCGCAUGGAGCUUGACCUCACUUUUGUAGAAUCGGAU
rnacentral:misc_RNA from 1 species